rnacentral:tRNA from 1 species
GGGGUUGUAGCUCAGUGGUAGAGCGCUUACCUCGCACGUCUGAGGCCCUGGGUUCAAUCCCCAGUACCA